UGAAGUAAGUAAGGGCGUACGGUGAAUGCCUUGGUGCCAACAGGCGAAGAAGGACGCGGCAAGCUGCGAAAAGCCUCGGGAAGCUGCAAGCAAGCGAUGAUCCGGGGAUAUCCGAAUGGGGUAACCUGAUCGAGGCAAUACUCGAUCGUUCAUACCUGAAUACAUAGGGUAUGAAACGCGAAACCCGCUGAAGUGAAACAUCUCAGUAAGCGGAGGAAAAGAAAGAGAAAUCGAUUCCGUAAGUAGUGGCGAGCGAAAGCGGAUGGAGCCCAAACCGAAGGUAUUCCUUCGGGGUUGUAGGACCACGUCAUAUUCGACCAUACUGGAUAGUAGAACAGCCUGGAAAGGCUGGCCGGAGAAGGUGAAAGCCCUGUAGACGAAAUCCAGAGUGGGAAUUAGUGGUAUCCUGAGUAAUACAUCACACGUGGAACGAUGUAUGAACCCGCGCGGACCACCGCGCAAGGCUAAAUACUAGUUGGCGACCGAUAGUGAACAAGUACCGCGAGGGAAAGGUGAAAAGAACCGCUGUGAGCGGAGUGAAAUAGAACCUGAAACCGUAUGUCUACAAAGUGUCAGAGCAGAGCAAUCUGCGAUGGCGUGCCUUUUGUUUAAUGAGUCUGCGAGUCAGUGUUUGUGGCAAGACUAAGGGCUUCCGGCCCGGAGUCGCAGCGAAAGCAAGUCCGAACAGGGCGCAAUAAGUCGCAGGUACUGGACCCGAAGCGGAGGUGACCUACCCUUGGCCAGGUUGAAGCAUGGGUAAAACCAUGUGGAGGACCGAACAGGUGAACGUUGAAAAGUUCUCUGAUGAGCUGAGGGUAGGAGUGAAAGGCUAAUCAAACCCCGUGAUAGCUGGUUCUCUUCGAAAUGCAUUUAGGUGCAGCGUCACGUGCUGAUGCGCGGGGGUAGAGCACUGACAAGGCUAGGGGGCACACCCGCUUACCAAACCUUAUCAAACUCCGAAUACCGUGCAAUGGAACGUGGCAGUGAGACAGUGGGGGAUAAGCUUCAUUGUCGAGAGGGAAACAACCCAGACCAGCAGCUAAGGUGCCUAAAUAACGCUCAGUGGAAAGGAUGUGGGAUUACACAGACAGUGAGGAUGUUGGCUUAGAAGCAGCCACCAUUUAAAAAAUGCGUAAUAGCUUACUCAUCGAGUGAUCCUGCGCCGAAAAUGAUUGGCGAUCAAGCGUUAUACCGAAGCUCUGGACUUUGCCGCAAGGCAGAGUGGUAGAAGAGCGUUGCAUGCGCGUCGAAGGGCGAUGGCGACUGACCCUGGAGCACAUGCAAGUGAGUAUGCAGACAUGAGUAACGUUAAGCCGGGUGAAAUCCCCGGCCGCCGUAAACCCGAGGUUUCCAGGGCAACGUGUUUCGUCCCUGGGUUAGCCGGGACCUAAGCCGAGGCCGAGAGGCGUAGGCGAUGGACAUCAGGUUAAUAAUCCUGAGCUCGCAACCCUUAAACUGGGGGGACGCAUGAGAAAAGAUGACUAGGUUAUUGAAUUCCGAGUUGAGUCCACGGACUCAGCGCAUCAUUGGAUCGAGUGCCAAGAAAAGCCCCAGCGUAUGCUAAGCGACCCGUACCGCAAACCGACACAGGUGGGUGGGUAGAAUAUACCAAGGCGUAAGAGUGAAACCUGGUUAAGGAACUCGGCAAAUUAGCCCCGUAACUUCGGAAGAAGGGGUGCCUGCAGCGAUGCAGGCCGCAGAGAAAUGGCCCAACCGACUGUUUAUCAAAAACACAGCACUCUGCAAAGACGCAAGUCGAAGUAUAGGGUGUGACACGUGACCAAUGCCGAAAGAUUAAGGCAAGGGGUUAGCCGCAAGGCGAAGCUCUAAACCCAAGUCCCGGUGAAUGUCGGCCGUAACUAUAACGGUCCUAAGGUAGCGAAAUUCCUUGUCGGGUAAGUUCCGACCUGCACGAA
rnacentral:rRNA from 1 species